UACGUAGGGUGCGAGCGUUAAUCGGAAUUACUGGGCGUAAAGCGUGCGCAGGCGGCUUCGCAAGUCAGGCGUGAAAUCCCCGGGCUUAACCUGGGAAUGGCGUCUGAAACUACGGAGCUGGAGUGUGGUAGGGGAGACUGGAAUUCCUGGUGUAGCGGUGAAAUGCGCAGAUAUCAGGAGGAACACCGGUGGCGAAGGCGGGUCUCUGGGCCGAUACUGACGCUGAGGAGCGAAAGCGUGGGGAGCGAACAGG
rnacentral:rRNA from 1 species